UGGCCGCCGGAACAUCCAAAAUGGCAGGCUGCAGCGUUUUUGCACCCUUGGUAAGCAAGGGGAGGGCGCGAAAACGCUGCCGGAACAGCUGAAAUGGCUGCGCGCAGUGUUUUCGCGCCCUCCCCUCGCUCACCAAGGGUGCGAAAACGCUGCGGCCGGGCAUUUCGGCUGUUCCGGGGGCCGUUGCAUUGUAUAGGAACAUUAUUGCUGGGGCAGAACAGACACUCAGCUCCAGUUGGCUUUUGAAGAAAUCUACGCUAUCAAUUUGCUGAAACACUGCAUCAGUGUUCUGUGUUGGGAGCAUCAGAGUGACUACGAUAAAGGCCUUCAGGCCACUGGCGUCCUCUCAUCAUGUGGGAUAGGCCCAAGGAUAAGCGUAAACCAUGUAGAAUGUAAACAGAAGACCGUAACAUCACUGAAAAGAGAUAUCUUUAUAGCCCCUUUGAAUCAAAGUUAUUUUUGGAGAGAGAUUCUAGAGGACUCCAAUCACCAUGCAGGCUCUCCUGAGACUCUUCCUGUCCUUCCUGCUCCCAACAAUAGGUGCUUCCAUACAGUGUGAAGUCUGUUAUUCCGUUGGCAACAGCUGCACUGGGAAUAUGCAGACAUGCCCUUCUGGACAAGAUAUCUGCACUGUUGCAUUUUCAGAAAGUACUCUUGAUGGACAGAGAAUUCUCACCACGGAGAAAGGCUGCGAAAACUCAGAGAUCUGCGCCUCUUCCCCGGUUGACUUGUAUUUGGGGCAGGGAAAAUCCUACAGGGCACAUCUGUAUUGUUGCACUGGAGAUGCCUGUGGAAACAUCUCCCCUGAAUUACCACCCGAGCAGAUGAAUUCCAUGUGGACAGCAUCAUAAAGGGAUGCACGACAAAGUCUGUCUGUAAGUCAUUACUUCAUGGUAAAUCCCCAUUUUUUGGACGUGCUAAUACUGUCAUAAGUGCAAAAUGUUCGCCAGAUGUUUCACGGGGGUGUCGAAUCACCAUCUCCCUCUUGCCUUCCUUCUCCGGGCUUCUGCUGCUACAAGUCCUUUUGUAAAAGACACCUACAAGGAACUGCAUCCACACGACGUUUCAAUUAUACUGGUGUUUUGUCUGUAUACUUCUCCUUCUCAAAGCGGAUGAGUCUUCCAGAUGGAGUUUCCUUGGCUGUUCUCACACUAAAUAAACAUCAGCAUUAAAGUAAAUGAAAUAUGGAU
rnacentral:lncRNA from 1 species